UCCCAGGCAUAAAAGAAAGGUAGGUCUGUAGGUAGUGAUGUUCCCGCUCCUUCUAUUCCAGCCUAUUGAAGGCACCGGGAAGAAUGGACCACCAAUUCAUCCUGCUUCCUUAUAUUCUUAUUCCCCCAUUUAGUGGAUUGGUUCCAACAGAAAGACCAGUGGAGGAGAACUAAAGUAAAUGCGCUUACCAACUCCUUAUCGACCUUCCAAUCUCUUAUCUGGACAGGAUAAGAGCAAAUGAAACAACACCUAUUGUCUAUUCUGACUCCUGGCUCACUGCCGGUGGGCAUUAACUAAACCUGUUAUCAUAGCUAUCUAUUGGUGCUCUCGGCAUAGGAAGUAUCUUAAGGUUGAUCCCUUGCUAAGCGAAGUCUCUUUAAUCCCUUGCUAAGUAUCCAUUUAUGUUGCAUAGCCAUAUACUUUUGUAGUUCCAGCUGAUCCAGUCGUUGAUCCUGCAGCUUAUCCAAAUGAGCACCAGCAGACAGAGGUAGAUACAGAGCCAGUAGCUUACCCAGGAGCAUACUUCGGUGUUGCAUAUAUAGCGAAAUACCCCUUUCACCUAGGUGGAAAAGAGAUCUAUUGAUACCCACCAUAAGUUUACCCAUAAGCCCACAGAGCGGUAGCGAACGAGACAGCAAAUGGAUGGAAAUUAGAUACUUAAUUGCUGGCAGCAGCUUUCUAGCUCCGGCGCUCAGAAUAUCGGGUAUGAUUCUCACUUUCUUGCCCUGCUUCUAUUGACAUUUGGAAAAAGAACCUUGCUCGACUAGUAGCUGGCAUCGCCUUACUGGUAAAGUAAUUGGACUAAGAUUUAGGGACCUGCCACACUCCAACCUCUUCCGAAAAGACAAGCUUACCUCGAUCUGUCAUUACAUAUGAUAUCUCGAGAGUUCCAGACCAUCACGUAAUGAAUUUAGAGAAUGCCGAUGAUAACCGAGAUCUGGAAAGCGGUGAAUACUGUUAGUGAAGCUAGACCUGUUAUCGUUAUUAGAGAGAUUGAUUAGAUGGAAGCGGGAGCCAACGAAGGGAGCAUGCGUAGCUACGUCGGUUCAGAGAUGAGAUCAAUUUGACCUUUAGCAGAAGGGCCGAUGCAAUUGAGCAAGCACUAGCUUAGCUUCAAUAGGUAUAAGAGUGGGAUAUAAUAUAUAUUAGGUAUAAGAGUUGGAUAUAAUCUAUAUCUAUAUAGGAGGACUUUCUUUCUGAAUCUACUCUCAUAUAUAAGAGGACUUUCUUUCUGAAUUGACUCCCAUAUAUAAGAGGACUUUCUUUCUGAAUUGACUCCCAUGCAUGGGCCAAAAGACAUAGAACUCGCAGCCUUAUACUGGCAUUUAAGGAAUAGAACUCGCAGCCUUAUACUGGCAUUUAAGGAGAGAUCCCUAUUGUAUGUAUUAGUUGAUCAAGGGGAACCCAACAAUGGUGAAGUGGGUCUAUUUCGCAUAGGUCAGUCAUCAAUAAUCUCAGUAACCACAGGACAAAAGCCAAGAGCUCCUAUUGGUAACUCUGGCAGUAUAGCUUAUGUGGGUGGGCUUGGAAAAAAGAAAUCCUCAAAUAUAAAGAAACAUUUCCGCAGCCUACUUGUUUGGGUCUAUGCCUCUGCCAAAUACACCAGAGCAGCAAGUCCUAGUAUCUAAACUCAAGCAAUAUUUCUUCUUCUAAUUUCUCUAUAUCUAUGAUGAAUCUUCUAAUUUCUCUAUCUCUAUGAUGAAAGGAUCUAUAUCUAUGAUGAAAGGGACUCUACCAAUAUCCUCUGGAGCAAGGAAAAGCAACUCUGUUUGAUAUCGGUAACGAUUCACAUAUUCUUUGGAUUGAUAGAUGGGAAACCCUUACUUCAUGUGGGUAGUUGGGUUAGAAGUCAAAUCUACAGCUUUCAAUAAUAGUUUCACUGUGACACCGAAGGAAAUCUGGUAAAGCGGAAAGGGAGUUUGUCUACUCGACCAAUAACUAGGACGGAUAGGAACUAUUCUUAGUCUGGGACAGGGUUCGAAGAAGCUAUUAGAUAAGUAUAGGGUUACAAGCUAUUAGUGAGUCGCUAGUGUCAAGAACCAGAUCGAUGGGAUAUUAUGACCUUGGGUACGAUAGUUUCUCAACCGACUAACAAAGGGAUAUCGGAUAGGCUCGGCCAACUCAAUCAACCGGUACAGCUCUCACUCUUCCUGCUCUAUUUUCUUUCUUAACGAAACUAGAUUGGAAGUUUUGAACCGAUUGCUGCUGAUCGAUCCUGUUUAUUCUCUAUAACCCGCCUAUCUAAUAGGAAGAAUGUAAUCAAGCAGCUCCUCUCUCUAACCCGCCUAUCUAAUAGGAAGAAUGUAAUCAAGCAGCUCCUCUCUCUGGCAACCAACCAUGAAUUCUGUAUUUCCUUUCUCGCGGUCAGGUCAAGUCAACCCACUUUCCUUUCCAGCCAAACACCUCACCUACUUUUGCUCCGAGUCAACUCAUAGAUUCAUUUCAGAACUGGACAUUCAAACUGGUUCUCUUUCUCAUAUACCUAUGGCUCUGGUAACAAUGUAGUAAUCAAUAACCCUUUGAGUGAAAAUAACCCUUUGCCACACUUAAGAAUUUCCCCUAAACUUCUUCUAUAGGCCUAAACUAUGGCUCUGUACUAUUUACUACUCUACUACUUACUGGAUAACUACUGAUUCUCUGGUCGACCACACCUCGCUGCAAAGCCAACUCGUACACUUCCUACUGCCAUGCCAGGUAGUAGAGUGAAGUAGUAUCACCUAUGUGUUCAGUAGGAAACCUGAAGUUCCAGAGUCCGGAGAAAGUACCAAUUCCUUGAGUUUAAGACCGCUCCCUUUCCCUUAGUAAAAGUAUGAUUACUCCACUUAUGUAUCGAGG
rnacentral:lncRNA from 1 species